GUGGGCAAUCUGCCCUGCACUCUGGGACAAGCCCUGGAAACGGGGUCUAAUACCGGAUACUGACCCGCCUGGGCAUCCAGGCGGUUCGAAAGCUCCGGCGGUGCAGGAUGAGCCCGCGGCCUAUCAGCUUGUUGGUGAGGUAACGGCUCACCAAGGCGACGACGGGUAGCCGGCCUGAGAGGGCGACCGGCCACACUGGGACUGAGACACGGCCCAGACUCCUACGGGAGGCAGCAGUGGGGAAUAUUGCACAAUGGGCGCAAGCCUGAUGCAGCGACGCCGCGUGAGGGAUGACGGCCUUCGGGUUGUAAACCUCUUUCAGCAGGGAAGAAGCGCAAGUGACGGUACCUGCAGAAGAAGCGCCGGCUAACUACGUGCCAGCAGCCGCGGUAAUACGUAGGGCGCGAGCGUUGUCCGGAAUUAUUGGGCGUAAAGAGCUCGUAGGCGGCUUGUCGCGUCGGUUGUGAAAGCCCGGGGCUUAACCCCGGGUCUGCAGUCGAUACGGGCAGGCUAGAGUUCGGUAGGGGAGAUCGGAAUUCCUGGUGUAGCGGUGAAAUGCGCAGAUAUCAGGAGGAACACCGGUGGCGAAGGCGGAUCUCUGGGCCGAUACUGACGCUGAGGAGCGAAAGCGUGGGGAGCGAACAGGAUUAGAUACCCUGGUAGUCCACGCCGUAAACGGUGGGCACUAGGUGUGGGCGACAUUCCACGUCGUCCGUGCCCGCAGCUAACGCAUUAAGUGCCCCGCCUGGGGAGUACGGCCGCAAGGCUAAAAACUCAA
rnacentral:rRNA from 1 species